rnacentral:rRNA from 1 species
GAUGAACGCUGGCGGCGUGCUUAACACAUGCCAGUCGAACGGAGAAGCACUGCUUGCGCUGUGGGUCCGUGUCGCACGGGUGAGUGAAACAUGAGCAACAUGUCCCCUACUCUGGGAUAAAACCUGGGAAAGGCGGGUAAAACUGGAGAUGGGCUGUGCCGCCACGGUGAGCAGUUGGGAAGAUUUUUCCGGUUGGGGAUGGCUCCCGGGCUUAUCAGCUUGUUGGUGGGGUAGUGGCUCACCAAGGCUCUGACGGGUAGCCGGCCUGAGAGGGUGACCGGCCACACUGGGACUGAGACACGGCCCAGACUCCUACGGGAGGCAGCAGUGGGGAAUAUUGCACAAUGGGCGGAAGCCUGAUGCAGCAACGCCGCGUGAGGGAUGACGGCCUUCGGGUUGUAAACCGCUUUUAGCAGUGAAGAAGCGAGAGUGACGGUACCGGCAGAAAAAGCACCGGCUAACUACGUG